rnacentral:rRNA from 1 species
UACGAGGGGGGCGAGCGUUGUUCGGAAUUAUUGGGCGUAAAGGGUGCGUAGGCGGUUUGGUAAGUCUUGUGUGAAAUCUUCGGGCUCAACUCGAAGUCUGCACGAGAAACUGCCGGGCUCGAGUAUGGGAGAGGUGAGUGUAAUUCCCGGUGUAGCGGUGAAAUGCGCAGAUAUCGGGAGGAACACCAGUAGCGAAGGCGGCACUCUGGGCCGUGACUGACGCUGAGGAGCGAAAGCGUGGGUAGCAAACAGG